rnacentral:rRNA from 1 species
UACGUAGGGUGCGAGCGUUGUCCGGAAUUAUUGGGCGUAAAGGGCUCGUAGGCGGUUUGUCGCGUCGGGAGUGAAAACCCAGGGCUUAACCCUGGGCUGGCUUUCGAUACGGGCAGACUAGAGGUAUGCAGGGGAGAACGGAAUUCCUGGUGUAGCGGUGAAAUGCGCAGAUAUCGGGAGGAACACCGGUGGCGAAGGCGGUUCUCUGGGCCUGUACUGACGCUGAGGAGCGAAAGCGUGGGGAGCGAACAGG